rnacentral:ncRNA from 1 species
GGUGGUAGGUCCACCGAAAUCGCCAUACAGGUGGAGGUUUCAAACUACCUUAAGGUGCUGUGGCCAAAAUCCAUGGUAUUGAGCGUUAAGGAAAAGGCAGUGAUAAAACUGUCAAGU